GAGAACCGACAUCGAAACCCUCUUCCCCUUUAACCCGACCUCACCGCGUCGCCGACAACUUCCGGCGAAGCUACGUCUCACCGCGAAACCUUCAACAAACCUUCAGCUCCUCCAUCCGCGCCAUCUUCCUUCCGUUCUCACUUCCGAAGAAAUUUCCACAACCCCCUUUCACCCUAAAAUCUGCAGAACACAGUAACUCUUACUCCAUUAAUAUCAUCACUAGAAAACAACAUCAGUCACCAAAUACUUCCACCUCCGUUGUGAAUCACUACACCAUCACACAAAUCGCAGGUUACCACUUUAUCUAUGCGGUCAAAACAACAAGCACCAUUACAUCACUGAAACAUCGCUUAAGAGAAUGGAUGAGUUUCGUCUGCACCGUGAGACCUGUCGUGUGCGGUUUAGAACACCUGGAAGCUUUUAU
rnacentral:lncRNA from 1 species